ensembl:snRNA RNU6-572P RNA, U6 small nuclear 572, pseudogene
GAAAAUUAGAAAGGUACAGAGAGAUUAGCAUGGUCCCUGAGCAAGGAUGACAGCAAAUUUGUGAAGCAUUCUAUAUUUUU